rnacentral:tRNA from 1 species
GCCUCUGUAGCUCAGUUGGUUAGAGUGCUGCUCCGGAAUCGCAGGGCCGUAGGUUCAAUUCCUACCAGAGGAC